UUCAUAGAUUUGCUUUCUAAGGUGUGCUGGUGUGUGUUUUACUCUGUAAGGCUGGAACAGAUGGUGUGGUCCAACCUUAACACUAAAGGGAAUGGUUGCUGUUUUUACAGUUGUGUUAAGAGUCCUACCAAGAUGAGAAGAGAGUUUUCAACAACCGUUUCCAGCGAAACUCAUAUCCAUAAUUAAUAAAGGCUUGAGGCUAAACACAGCACUCGGGGGAAUGACUGGCAUAUAGCACAUCCUCUGUGUCUUCGACACUUGCUAAGUGAAUUUUUUAGGAGUGCUGUGCAGUGACAAAACGCCACAUGUGUCAAAGAAACUGGAGAUGGGUGCUUUCGUAAGUAAGAGCGAUUCUGUCCCCGUGAAAAGCGUGGAGCACUUUGCCGGUGACCUUCCCGAUGAGCGCGGCUGAAAUUGGAUGAUUGCGUGCUGUGUUACCGGACAAGUGACAGGUGGCUGUAUCUCCAGGCUUGAAGGCAGGCAAUCUCACAUACCCAGUCCAUGUGUGCUGCACCCAGUUCCCAGGUGAGCUGUCAUCUAGUCUGGUUGAGUCCAGGAGAACAGGACCGCAUGACGUUCACUUCACCCGAGAGAACAACAUCUCCGAAGCUCCUUCUUUCCAUCCCAUCAUUUCACCGGAUGCCAGCUUGAUUUCACUUUCUGCUUCGUGACAUUUGGCUGACUGAGUUGAGAUGUCAUAGACAGGCAGUGGCAGGUGAGGCUGAGGGAGAACAAGAACUGUCAUCUCUCCGGUUAUCACAGCAGUGUGCAGAUUUCCAAAUGCCUUCUUUUCAAACAGCUAAGUACGUAUUAACUGUAAUGGUGUGACAUAGCUGUUUGGAGCUGCUUUUCUGUCCUCUGGGUCUCUGGCUCUCACAUUUCCAGUAAGAUCUCAGAAACACGACUUGAAAGACAAAUGGACUUUGACAUUUAACAUGAAAAACAAAAAAUGCUGUCAGAAUUGUAUCCUCUGGAAAAGUGUAUUUGACUUGAGUGAAGCAACAGCGCGACCCCCUCCAUGCUUUAUAAUUAUUCCACUUCGGGUUUUCUGUUCCCCUGCUGUUUGCUCACGGGUGAGAGACACCUGGCUCUGAUUUGUGCUUUAAUUUAAAUUCGUUUUUCUAAUAUGAACUGGUCUAGACACAAUAUAUAUAUCUUAGCAGAAAUUGAAAAAUGUUGCAUUUACUUCACACAAGCGCAGCCAUGU